rnacentral:tRNA from 1 species
AGGGCAUUCGCCAAGCGGUAAGGCGCAGCACUUUGACUGCUGUAUUCACCAGUUCGAAUCUGGUAUGCCCUG